UAACCCCUCAAGCCUAGCUUGGUGUUGGAGCCUGCUGUUCCCGGCAGCCCUUAAAAUCAGUGGCGGUGUCCUCGGGCCCUGAGCGUAGUAAUCUUUCUCGCUACAGGGUCCCGGGCACGCUGGCCAUCAACCCCCCUAUAUUCUCU
rnacentral:misc_RNA from 1 species